rnacentral:rRNA from 1 species
GAUGAACGCUGGCGGCGUGCCUAAUACAUGCAAGUCGAACGGACGUAGCAAUACGUUAGUGGCGACCGGGUGCGUAACACGUAGCUGACCUGCCCCUCAGCGGGGGACAACACCGGGAAACUGGUGCUAAUACCGCAUGACAUCGAAUGGACUAGCAGCAUUCGAUUAAACUUACGGGGCUGAGGGAGGGGGCUGCGGCCCAUCAGGUAGUUGGUGAGGUAACGGCUCACCAAGCCAAUGACGGGUAGGGGGCCUGAGAGGGUGGUCCCCCACACUGGAACUGACACACGGUCCAGACUCCUACGGGAGGCAGCAGUAAGGGAUAUUGCACAAUGGGCGAAAGCCUGAUGCAGCAACGCCGCGUGGAGGAAGAAGGCCUUCGGGUUGUAAACUUCUUUUGACGCUGAAGAGGAAGGACGGUAGGCGUCGAAUAAGUCACGGCUAACUACGUG